UAUACUACGGAGAAUUUUUAAAGAAGAUAGAAGAUGUGACUGUCAAUCAAUGAAAGAAAAUGAAAACUUUCUGCGUCUUAAGGCUGCAUUAGGACAUGCCCUGAAACCUGACCACAGUUGCCUGCAAUCCGCAAUAUUCCUGAAUUAGAACCUCCCCAAUUGGAUCUAUCGUCCUUCCAAAAGAACAGACGAUUCUCCGUCUUGCACUUACCUGUCACAAGAAAAACUUUCUAUUUAUGCAACUUGUAAAUGAUGACACCUUGACAAGCAAGGAGAGGACAUAAAGUGUGUACUGUAAGCCAGUGAUGGGACUCUGAUUAUACAAUAGCAGAUGGAAUUAUACUUUUUGCUACAAAAUGACACUGAGGGGACACGCUGAAAUUUACGGUUAAUGAUUAAGCUGAGUUUUCACCAGAAGAAGUUGAGGGUUAUCCCACAAUGAAACGCCUCAGUAUGAUACUUUUGGACUAUUACUGGACUGAUCUUUAAAACAUCUUCACCAUAAUAAUGAUAGAACAGCAGCCCAUGGUCUCAACAUGACUAGGGAAAACAAACAGGUUUUUAUACUGGGCCUUGGAUACUGUAAGUCAUUUAUUGUUCAGUAUGUAAUGAAGCAUAUUGUACUGACUGUGUACUGUAUGGUUAUUCUAGCAUUUUCUAUCCAUAU